rnacentral:rRNA from 1 species
GAACGCACUCUCGUUUAGAUUGAAGGAGCUUGCUCCUGAUUGAUAAACAUCUGAGUGAGUGGCGGACGGGUGAGUAACACGUGGGUAACCUGCCCUAAAGUGGGGGAUAACAUUUGGAAACAGAUGCUAAUACCGCAUAAAACCUAACACCGCAUGGUGUAGGGUUGAAAGAUGGUUUCGGCUAUCACUUUAGGAUGGACCCGCGGUGCAUUAGUUAGUUGGUGAGGUAAAGGCUCACCAAGACCGUGAUGCAUAGCCGACCUGAGAGGGUAAUCGGCCACACUGGUACUGAGACACGGCCCAGACUCCUACGGUAGGCAUCAGUAGGGAAUCUUCCACAAUGGACGAAAGUCUGAUGGAGCAACGCCGCGUGAGUGAAGAAGGUUUUCGGAUCGUAAAACUCUGUUGUUGGAGAAGAAUGUAUCUGAUAGUAACUGAUCAGGUAGUGACGGUAUCCAACCAGUAAGCCACGGCUAACUACGUGCCAGCAGCCGCGGUAAUACGUAGGUGGCAAGCGUUGUCCGGAUUUAUUGGGCGUAAAGCGAGCGCAGGCGGUUUCUUAAGUCUGAUGUGAAAGCCUUCGGCUCAA